rnacentral:tRNA from 1 species
UGGGGUGUAGCUCAGUGGUAGAACACUUGCCUAGCGUCUGGGUUCAAUCCCCAGCCUCACAA